UUUAUUUAGAGCCAAGGAUGCUAUUUUAACAGCAGAAUUGCACCAUUGAUACUUUUACCUAUAUUUGAUGGCACAGAUAUGCAAAAGUCAUACGACUUCCACUGACACCCUCUCCUCCCUCCAGAGUAGCAUUCACGUAAUUUAUCUUAGGUCAGUUACAAGUUAUAUGUAAGAAAUGGUUAAGUGGGCUGGGCAUGGUUGGUGGCCCAUGCUUGUAAUCCCAGCACUUUGGGAGGCCUGGUGGGGGGUGUUAGGUGGGGGGAAUCGCUUUGAGCCUAGGAGGUCAAGGCUGCAGUGAGCUAUGAUUGCCCCACUGCACUCCAGCCUGGGCACCAGCAUGAGACCCUGUCUAUAAAAGGGAAGGGGAAGGGGUGGGGCAGGGGAAGGGAGAGGAAGAAAGGAAGGAGAGAAAGAAAAGGGAGAAAGAGAGGGAAAGAAGAAGGGAGGGAGGGAGGAAAGAAGGAAAAAAGGAAGGAAGGAAAGAAAGAGAGGAGGGAAGGAGGGAGGGAGGGAGGAGAGAGGAAAGAGAGAAAGAGGAGCGAAGGAGGGAGGAAGGAAGGAAGGAGAGAGAGGAAAGAGAAAGAGGAGGGAAGGAGGGAGGAAGGGAGGGAAGGAAGGAAAGAGAGGAAAGAGGGGAGGAACGGAAGGAGGGAAAGAGGGAAGGAAGGAGGGAGGGAAGGAGGGAGGGAGGAAGGAAGGAAGGAAGGAAGCUAAGCAAUAUAACCCUGUGGCAACAUUUGUAAAAGUGACUCUGAGAAGACAGAAAGAUCCUCUAUGAGAGACUGGUGUCCCCAGGAAUUGGCGAGGCCUGCUGAGGAUCAUUUGGGUAAAUGUCAUGGUCACGCGGCCCCAUUCUCUUCGCUGAGCUCCGGAUUUCCGUAGCCAAUUGUCUGCUGGACAUUCCUCCCUGAUACAUCUCACAGGCGAUUACUUUAAAACAUGAAAGAAAUUGCACCUUUUCCUUAAGGGCAAGAUGGUGCUGUGGGCUUUCCUCUCUCCUGAUGAGAUGAUGCAAAUGGACUCCAUAGAGAAACGCUGCCCGUGUAACAAUGCAGUUACGCAACCCGGUGCAUGACACAUGAAUUGCAGCGCACCUGAGAUCCUGAUGAAAUCCUGGGAGCCUGGAGCUGUC
rnacentral:lncRNA from 1 species